AAGAAAGGAAAGAGAAAGUCCAACCACUACGGCAAUACUUUUAAGCUCUACUAAAUGACGGUAUCCUUUCUGGCUUCGAAACUUUUGUACCUAAAAAUCGAGAGAGGCGCUGCAUUUUUUCAGUUGAAACUGUCAAAACUUGGAGAAGGGGAACCUCGGAGGCAGGCAGGAGAGGAGAAUCCUGAAAACUCGGUGGAGGUUGGGAAGAUGCUGUGCCUCGAGGAUUAGUUUAAACAGGGGGCUAUAAAAGAUGUAACAGAUGCAAACUGUAACACAAGGGCCAUUAACCCUUUCUCUGCCGGGCACACUCAGUCCCCACGCCCCGCACCUAUUGUCUCCUGUGCUAGAAGCUUUGCAGAAAACCUGGAAAACUCACAUCCCCACUCAAAAUGAGAAAAUUAGAAAAGGAGGAUGGAGGACGAGCACACCAAAAAGGGAUAAAAAGAGAGAAAAGGGGAGGAAAAAAAACCUACCUGCGAAGUCUUGUUUGUAGUUUUGGCCAGAAAUGGUGAGAAGAAAAAGCAUGAAGAAGCCGCGAAGUGUGGGGGAGAAAAAGGUGGAAGCGAAGAAACAGCUCCCGGAGCAAACUGUACAAAAACCUCGCCAAGAGUGUCGGGAGGCAGGACCGUUAUUCCUGCAGAGCAGGUUAGAACUGAUCUCUUUCGGCCACUCCAGGAAACACAAACCUGGGGACGGACUGACGUGUUACGCCUCUUCUAAUGACAUUUUUUUCUUUUUCUUUUCUGUAGGAGAGAGACGAGAGACCCUGAAACACGCGCCACCUAUCUUUGUGGGGAGGGAUAAUUGAAGCGCCCUGAGCGUGAGCAUCAUGUGAAAACGUGAUCGCCAAGUUUCUCUCUGGGAAAGGAUCUGGGAUAGAUUAUACCUUGAAGUCUCCGCAA
rnacentral:antisense_RNA from 1 species